CUCAUAUUCCAUCAACCUUCCAGAGAGGCUUUUUCAAUCACAGGAGUAAGCCGUUCUCCAAAAUCAGCUCUCUAUUGAAAGGUCGAAAC
rfam:Cathartes aura contig74773, whole genome shotgun sequence.